rnacentral:rRNA from 1 species
UACGAGAGGCCCAAACGUUAUUCGGAAUUACUGGGCUUAAAGAGUUCGUAGGCGGCAUUGCAAGUAGGGUGUGAAAGCCCUCGGCUCAACCGAGGAAUUGCGCUCUAAACUGCAGUGCUUGAGGAAGCUAGAGGUGAGCGGAACACCCGGUGUAGAGGUGAAAUUCGUAGAUAUCGGGUAGAACACCAGUGGCGAAGGCGGCUAUCUGGACGGUAACUGACGCUGAGACGCGAAAGCGUGGGGAGCGAACAGG